rnacentral:rRNA from 1 species
UGGGGAAUAUUGGGCAAUGGAGGAAACUCUUACCCAGCAAUGCCGCGUGAGUGAAGAAGGUCUUCGGAUUGUAAAGCUCUUUGAUUAGGGACGAAUAAAUGACGGUACCUAAAGAACAAGCCCCGGCUAACUAUGUGCCAGCAGCCGCGGUAAUACAUAGGGGGCGAGCGUUGUCCGGAAUGACUGGGCGUAAAGGGUGUGUAGGUGGUCUGACAAGUUGGAAGUGAAAUCCCCAGAGCUUAACUCGGGGGCUGCUACCAAAACUGUCAGACUUGAGUAUAGGAGAGGAAAAUGGAAUUCCUAGUGUAGCGGUGGAAUGCGUAGAUAUUAGGAGGAACACCAGUGGCGAAAGCGAUUUUCUGGACUAUAACUGACACUGAGGCACGAAAGCGUGGGGAGCAAACA